UACGUAGGGGGCAAGCGUUGUCCGGAUUUAUUGGGCGUAAAGAGCGUGUAGGCGGCUUGGUAGGUCCGCUGUGAAAACUCGAGGCUCAACCUCGAGAUGUCGGCGGAAACCACUUGGCUAGAGUCCGGAAGAGGAGAGUGGAAUUCCUGGUGUAGCGGUGAAAUGCGCAGAUAUCAGGAAGAACACCUAUGGCGAAGGCAGCUCUCUGGGGCGGUACUGACGCUGAGACGCGAAAGCGUGGGGAGCGAACAGG
rnacentral:rRNA from 1 species